rnacentral:rRNA from 1 species
UUUCCCUACGGGACGCAGCAGUAGGGAAUCUUCCACAAUGGACGCAACCCUGAUGCAGCGACGCCGCGUGAGUGAAGAAGUAUUUCGGUAUGUAAAGCUCUAUCAGCAGGGAAGAAAAUGACGGUACCUGACUAAGAAGCCCCGGCUAACUACGUGCCAGCAGCCGCGGUAAUACGUAGGGGGCAAGCGUUAUCCGGAUUUACUGGGUGUAAAGGGAGCGUAGACGGCAGAGCAAGUCUGAAGUGAAAGCCCGCGGCCCAACUGCGGGACUGCUUUGGAAACUGCCCGGCUAGAGUGCUGGAGAG